rnacentral:rRNA from 1 species
GCAAGUCGAACGAGAAAGCCUUCGGGUGAGUAGAGUGGCGCACGGGUGAGUAACGCAUGGGAAUAUACCUUCAGGUGGGGGAUAACAGUUGGAAACGACUGCUAAGACCGCAUAGUCUCUUCGGAGUAAAUGAGGCCUCUAUUUAUAAGCUACAGCCUGAAGAUUAGCCCAUGUCGCAUUAGCUUGUUGGUAAGGUAAUGGCUCACCAAGGCUUCGACGGGUAGCUGGUCUGAGAGGAUGAUC